rnacentral:rRNA from 1 species
CCUACGUGAGGCAGCAGUGGGGGAUAUUGCACAAUGGGUGAAACUCUGAUGCAGCGUCGCCGCGUGGGCGAAGAAGUAUUUCGGUAUGUAAAGCCCUAUCAGCAGGGAAGAAGAAAUGACGGUACCUGAGUAAGAAGCACCGGCUAACUACGUGCCAGCAGCCGCGGUAAUACGUAUGGUGCAAGCGUUAUCCGGAAUUACUGGGUGUAAAGGGAGCGCAGGCGGCACGGCAAGCCUGAUGUGAAAGCCCGCGGCCAAACCGCGGGACUGCAUUGUGAACUACCGGGCUGGAGUGCCGGAGAGGUAGGCGGAAUGCCUAGGUGAGCGGUGAAAUGCGUAGAUAUUAGGAGGAACACCAGUGGCGAAGGCGGCCUACUGGACGGUGACUGACGCUGAGGCUCGAAAGCGUGGGGAGCAAACAGGAUUAGAUACCCGUGUAGUC